UGCUUUGCUGUAUUCGUUUUCUCUAGACA
rnacentral:piRNA from 2 species